AUGGACAGAGGAGCCUGGCAGGCUACAGUCCAUGGGGUUCCAAGAGUCGGACAAGACUUAGCAACUAAACCACCACCCUCACAGAGAGGGAGAGUGAAGGGCAUAAGCUGUCAUAAAGUCAAAACGAAACUGCCAAUAACACGGGUUCUCUGUCUCCCAAGAGUGACUCACCCAGUGAAAACCAGAGUACUUAUUGUUCCAAGUGUCAAAAUCUGCAGAACUGCCUCCAGGAUUUGGGUCUCAUCCAGCUUCAAUGAACCAAACAUUCCAGCAUCUUCCUCCAGUACCUGUGAACGCUGCAUUGUCUUCUCCCUGUGGCUUUUGUUUUUGAAAGCUCAUAAAGAGGAACCCAGGAAGUCAGGAAACAGCAGGGUGACCAUUUCCUUCCCCAGGACAGCCUUCAGCCAGUUUCUACAUGCCUCUUGCCAGGGACAAAACUGGCACCUAGACUGCCCCGGAGGACGCAGAAAACCAGGACCUGGCUGGGGGCUGAAAUGUACUCCAUUGAAGAAUCCUCUGGCCUCAGCACUGGAAGGACCAGCCAGCGGCAGUGAGAGUUUAUCAUCAUUUGGAGGGAGGAAACAUCUCAGUAAUUCCAGAGUGCAGCUCUGAAGAGGAAGGUCAACAUACGACAGGACUCAUCAACCCCUCCCAGGUGAGGGGAGCCCAGCUGGGUUUGUGUACAAGAGUCUGUCCACAUCUGCAGUUGUGUGUGCACAGGGGAAGUGGGUGUGUGUUUGCAGGGGGCGUAGACUACGCUUGACAGGUAUGUGCGCUACCUUCCUUCAUUCGGCCAGGAUUGACUAACAACCCACUACGAGCACGGUGCAUCUCAGAGUUUCCAAGAAAAUAGCAGAACAAGAUUCGCCCCAACUAGCAGGCUUACCUUCUCCAAAAAAAAAAGAGAUACAAUAUAUAAGAAAACAAAUGGGGUCAUUUUAGAUAACACUUCUCCAUGCUGGGAUGCAACAAGAGCCUGACAAAGUCUUGGAUUCUUCUGCCUAAAAGGCCAGAGCAGUCCUCUCUGGGCAGCUGACAUCUGAGCCAAAAACUAGGUAAGAAGGAGCCAGCUGUGCUAAAAGCUUGGGGAGGCUGGUUCCAGGUGGAAAGUACAUAUAACACAAAAGCCCCAAAGUGGGAAAUUAACCAAAGGGAAAAAAAGGAAAGCCCGUGAGUUUAGGGAGCAGUGUGUGUGCCCCUCUGAGGCUCUGUGUAUGAUUGGAGAGUCUGGAUAUUAAAAGUCAGAUCAGGCCAGGAGGACUCUGUGGGCUUUCUUAGUGGAAAUUCACUCUUUCUGGAAACCCUGGAGGCAGGUGGAGCAGUUAAGAAGCUGUCUUUGACUGUGGUUGCUGCAUCAAGUAUCAGAACCACAAUUUUCUCCUGGGUUUUGGGGGUGGAGGGGGGAGAACUUGUUCCUGGCUAGAAUUCCUUUUCCAGCCUGCCUUGUGGACAUAAGUGGUGAGCAGAAGUUGUUAGGACAGGCUUCUCAGAAAACUUUUUUUUUUUUAAGUCAGGUUUAUUGAAGCAUAAUUUAUAUACUGUAUUCAGUAGCAUUCCACCAAUUUUCAGGAAUUGUGUGCAGCUGUUAAACUGUUGGCCUUGUGAAAGCUGCAGUGUGGGAGUAUUUACACCAUGGAAAUGGGCAAGCACUAUACAUCAGGGCUUCCAGCUACCCGCCCUACUUCCCCUACACUCCAAAAAAUUUGACUUAAAGAUGCUAAUACAUUUUAGCCUUUUUAUGAACAGUUCAGUAAAUUUUGGCAAAUGCAGAGAGUUUGUAUAUCCACCACGAUCAAAAUACAGAAUGCGUAUCAUCACCCUCCAAAUUCUCUUGUUCCCUUGUAGUUGAUCCUUUUCCCACUACCUAGUCCAUGCCAACCACUGAUCUGUCCCCUGUUCUUCUAGUGUUGCCUUUCCCAGAAUGUCCUGUAAAUGGAAUUACGUAUCUUCUUUCAUUUAGCAAAAUGAACUUGAGAUGUACCCAUAUUGCCAUAUGAAUCAGUGUCUUGUUCUUAUUUAACACCAAGUAGUAUUUCAUUUGGAGAAGGCAAUGGCACCCCACUCCAGUACUCUUGCCUGGAA
ensembl:lncRNA